rnacentral:rRNA from 1 species
GAUGAACGCUGGCGGCGUGCCUAAUACAUGCAAGUCGAGCGAACGGACGAGAAGCUUGCUUCUCUGAUGUUAGCGGCGGACGGGUGAGUAACACGUGGAUAACCUACCUAUAAGACUGGGAUAACUUCGGGAAACCGUAGCUAAUACCGGAUAAUAUUUUGAACCGCAUGGUUCAAAAGUGAAAGACGGUCUUGCUGUCCCUUAUAGAUGGAUCCGCGCUGCAUUAGCUAGUUGGUAAGGUAACGGCUUACCAAGGCAACGAUGCAUAGCCGACCUGAGAGGGUGAUCGGCCACACUGGAACUGAGACACGGUCCAGACUCCUACGGGAGGCAGCAGUAGGGAAUCUUCCGCAAUGGGCGAAAGCCUGACGGAGCAACGCCGCGUGAGUGAUGAAGGUCUUCGGAUCGUAAAACUCUGUUAUUAGGGAAGAACAUAUGUGUAAGUAACUGUGCACAUCUUGACGGUACCUAAUCAGAAAGCCACGGCUAACUACGUG